rnacentral:lncRNA from 1 species
CCCUCGUCAUGAAACAUUAUUGAAGGUGUUAGGAAGGUGGACGGUGGGUGGUAAGUUGAAUAAUAGCACUGUAAUUAACUAUAUCAACUAGUCAGACUGCUAUGAACCUAGAAAGUGAUUAUACAAAGACCAUGCAUAUGGCUUCACACACAGAUUGGGUACAUCAAUCAUACAGUGGGAGGAGACUGACCUCACUUGGCCUUCAGAAUGAUAUACUAAUUGCUGUUCAAUAAAUUUUAUAUGAUCUGUUAUCAUAAUCUGCAUUUCCUCACCAAGAGUAAUUGCUUGUGACAUGUAUCUGAUUAGGAAAAGAUUAAUGUUUGUCCUGGUGAGACUCCAUAACCUCAAAGUGUCAAAUACCAUAGACAUUUUUCUCAAACUAAAACAGGUGGUCAAUGAUGUUAAAUGUAUCAAUGAUGUCAGCA